CCUACGGGAGGCAGCAGUGAGGAAUAUUGGUCAAUGGCCGGGAGGCUGAACCAGCCAAGUCGCGUGAGGGAAGACGGUUCUACGGGUUGUAAAUCUCUUUUGUCAGGGAGAAAGGUGCAGGUAGGGACCUGCUGUGAGAGUACCUGAAGAAAGAGCAUCGGCUAACGCCGUGCCAGCGGCCGCGGUAAUACGGAGGAUGCGAGCGUUAUCAGGAUUGAUUGGGUGGAAAGGGUGCGCAGGCGGAGGCACAAGUGAGCGGUAAAAUCGCGGGGCCCAACCCCGGUCCGCCGUUGAAACUGUGUCCCUUGAGUGCGCGAAGGGUAGGCGGAAUGCGUGGUGUAGCGGUGGAAUGCAUAGAUAUCACGCAGAACUCCGAUCGCGAAGGCAGCCUACCGGCGCGCCACUGACAGUGAUGCUCGAAAGUGUGGGUAUCAAACAGGAUUAGAUACCCGUGUAGUC
rnacentral:rRNA from 1 species